rnacentral:lncRNA from 1 species
GAAAUUCAAAUGGAUUUUCCAUAAGCAGAAUGCUCAUAACCAAGCCUCUAGGCCAACAUCCGAAGAUGUAGCGACUGUGGUUGGUGACAUCAUCAUCUCAGCACCUGUUAAAGAAUUACUACUGCUUAACCCUUCAGCUGUUCCCCAGCUUGUGCCUAAACUCUGUGAUCUAGCACCUAGUAUCGAUCGAAUACUUUCUAUGGUUGAGGAUAUCCACCUUGAGAAGACUCGUUGGGACAUUGUUAGCUUUAAGAUUGCAGACGGAAGAAAGAAUAAGGCGAUGGCUAAUAAGUAUAAGGCCCUUUUAAAAUACGUUAGGAAUUGGAUGACUAAGAAUUCGAUCAUCUAUACAAAGGAUGACAAAUCAAAAAAGGUAGUAUUUAUUGAAAAACGUAAUUACGACGAUCUGCUUCUUGCAUUUAUAUAACAGUCACAGUCCGAGAUACUCACAACAGACCCUACGGGCCGGAUAUUUAAACAAGUCAAAAGAAUCAGUAAAUUGAAACACUUCCCGGAGCAGUGGAAGUUUAAAGAGGUCUCAUCCCCGUAUCCUCCCAGGCUGUUUGGGUAUGUUAAAACUCACAAAACGCCCAUCACAAUUCGACCCAUGGUUGACAAGGUAUCCUCCUCUAUUUUCAACCUGGAAAGGGCUAUAG